rnacentral:rRNA from 2 species
UACACGACUCUCGGCAACGGAUAUCUCGGCUCACGCAUCGAUGAAGAACGUAGCAAAAUGCGAUACUUGGUGUGAAUUGCAGAAUCCCGUGAACCAUCGAGUUUUUGAACGCAAGUUGCGCCCAAAGCCAUCCGGUUGAGGGCACGUCUGCCUGGGCGUCACGC